rnacentral:rRNA from 1 species
UACGUAGGUGGCAAGCGUUGUCCGGAUUUACUGGGCGUAAAGGGCGUGCAGGCGGUCUGUUAAGUGCAGGGUGAAAGCUCCCGGCUCAACUGGGAGAGGUCCUUGCAUACUGGCGGACUUGAGGGGGGUAGAGGAAAGUGGAAUUCCCGGUGUAGUGGUGAUAUGCGUAGAUAUCGGGAGGAACACCUGUGGCGAAGGCGGUUCUCUGGGCCUUACCUGACGCUGAGGAGCGGAAAGCGUGGGGAGCGAACAGG